rnacentral:rRNA from 1 species
UACGAAGGGGGCUAGCGUUGCUCGGAAUCACUGGGCGUAAAGGGUGCGUAGGCGGGUCUUUAAGUCAGGGGUGAAAUCCUGGAGCUCAACUCCAGAACUGCCUUUGAUACUGAGGAUCUUGAGUUCGGGAGAGGUGAGUGGAACUGCGAGUGUAGAGGUGAAAUUCGUAGAUAUUAGGAAGAACACCAGUGGCGAAGGCGACUCACUGGUCCGGUACUGACGCUGAGGUGCGAAAGCGUGGGGAGCAAACAGG